GGCCUACCAUGGUGGUAACGGGUAACGGGGUGUUAGGGCACGACACCGGAGAGGGAGCCUGAGAAACGGCUACCACAUCCAAGGAUGGCAGCAGGCGCGCAAAUUACCCAAUCCCGACACGGGGAGGUAGUGACAAUAAAUAACAAUACGGGGUUCUUUCGGAUCUCGUAAUUGGAAUGAGUACAAUUUAAAUCUCUUAACGAGGAACAAUUGGAGGGCAAGUCUGGUGCCAGCAGCCGCGGUAAUUCCAGCUCCAAUAGCGUAUAUUAAAGUUGUUGCAGUUAAAAAGCUCGUAGUUGAAUUUCGGGAUCAAUAUGUUGGUCGUGCCUUGGUACGUACUGGCGUCGUUGGUUUCUACCUUCUGAAGAACCUCGAUGUCAUUAAUUUGGUGUCUUGGGGAAUCAGGACUGUUACUUUGAAAAAAUUAGAGUGUUUAAAGCAAGCUCACGCUUGAAUACAUUAGCAUGGAAUAAUGAAAUAGGACGUUUGAUUCUAUUUUGUUGGUUUCUAGGAUCGACGUAAUGAUUAAUAGGGAUAGUUGGGGGCAUUAGUAUUCAAUUGUCAGAGGUGAAAUUCUUGGAUUUAUUGAAGACUAACUACUGCGAAAGCAUUUGCCAAGGAUGUUUUCAUUAAUCAAGAACGAAAGUUAGGGGAUCGAAGACGAUCAGAUACCGUCGUAGUCUUAACCAUAAACUAUGCCGACUAGGGAUCGGAUGAUGUUAAUUUUUUAAUGACUCAUUCGGCGCCCUACGGGAAACCAAAGUGUUUGGGUUCA
rnacentral:rRNA from 1 species